UACAGAGGUCUCGAGCGUUAGGCGGAAUCACUGGGCUUAAAGCGUGUGUAGGCGGAUCGUUAAGUACCUUGUGAAAUCCCACGGCUUAACCGUGGAACUGCUUGGUAUACUGGCGGUCUUGAGCCAGCUAGGGGCUACCGGAACAAAUGGUGGAGCGGUGAAAUGCGUAGAUAUCAUUUGGAACGCCGAAGGUGAAAACAGGCUGCUGGGGGUUGCGCCGACGCUGAGACACGAAAGCCAGGGGAGCAAACGGG
rnacentral:rRNA from 1 species